rnacentral:lncRNA from 1 species
GAUGGAUGGAGUAUCAAGUGGACGUCCUAGUGAACGAGCGAGCGACCAAACAAAUAGACAAAAAAUGGAGGAUCAAUCAGCUAUUUCGUUUUCCAUCAUGCAGACAACAAGGAGGGAACGGGUGGGUAAAACAAGAAAUCUUCUAUUCGUCCUCGUGGUUUCUUUCUUAUUUCUUUUUUGGUUUGUCUUUUUUUCCUGCUCUGUCAAGAAGGAGACGGGAAAAGAAGAGAGGCAAAAGUGAUACUAUAAGGAAAGCAUUCUUUAAACGAAUAGAAGCGAAGAAACGAACAAAGAGGCACUUCAUAGAAAAUAAAAUAAAAUAAAUAAAUAGAUGAAUUGAAAAUGAAAAAAGCCUACAACACCCGGUACUCCCAGCGAAUGUUUCGGCCUGGUACUAGAGCUGGCCGAUUUCUUGGCCAACUGUCCAAUCACUAUGCCUCGUCAGCCGGCUGAGUUGGCCAUCAGAGCUCUCUCAUUGGCCUAAUGGCGAUCACUGAGAAUGUGGGCGUCGCCAGAGUUGGCCAACAGACCAAUCACGUUGUCUCGUUGUCCGACUGGACAUGAAUAUUUAUGAUUACCUCACCGCUACGUCACCGUAAAAUAUGAAUAUUCAUCUCUUCGGCGGAACCUUCGAAUUCACUGCCAAAUCGAGCACUGUUUCAUCGAUAAAUCCACCCUUUUGAGGACUUUUGGAUGUUGUUUACAUAUGGACGUGGAAAUUGUGAUCAUUCUUCGCAUGUAUGAUACCAUGGUGCUGUACAGUAUACACACACCCAGACUGUGGGAUCUGGUACGUCAAACUUGACCAGGCAUCGUAAAAUCCACAAUGACAGGAUGCACCAUCCACAGCGUCAACGUCAGCAGAUACCGUUGCUGCAGGGGAAUGAACUGUGGUGAGACUAGACUCUGGUGAACUGCAUCUCUGCGGAGCGGUAUAGGAUAUCGCCAUGCAUUCAAGUGCUGGAAAAUAACCAGAGAGCUGAAGAGGACAGUGCCAAUGACGACGAUGAGAGCAUCAUAGGUGAUAUGUCUGUCGCUGUGGACCUCAUCGACAGUACGAAUACCGAGGACUCUUGGAAGUGGAACGUCGAUACCAUGUUUCGAGUAGGCCCGAGACCUAAGCAAUUUCAUUCGGACCGAUGGAACAGUACGAUGUGAUGUUGUGCAACUAUUGCGUUUAAUGAUUGAAAUACGUUUUUCAUCGUGCUACUCAGCAUGGACCAGACGCGAGCCCUAUUUACGCUAUGUACCUGUAAUGGUGCUUUUCACUCUGCUUCAGGAAUCACACAGAUAUGCACAUGUGGACGAUGAAUUGUUGAUUGGAAAAAGACUGAACAUUUUUCUCAAUUGCCAUGCUUAUUUUGCAAAUUUGUCAUCAAUUACACAAUUUCUUACGGAAAGAAAGAACGCACUAAUCCAUGGCUCUACACAGUUGGGGGGGGGGGGGGUAUGCUUUAGUGGUUGCCCCACCCCCCUCCUUUUGUGUAUGGCCAUGAAUUUAUUUGAAUUAGUUUUGUACAGGUACAUACAUGAAUACAGAAAUCGAUUAUCAAAGAGUGACCGAAGCAAAGAUAUUUAAUUAAUUAAAAGAUGAGAACACUGAUGUAAAUAUUGCUUAUGAUUAUUG